UGGGGCUUUCACUGGGGGCUUGGGGCGGCCGCAGCGCUGAGCAGCAAAGAGAGGAUUCAGGUACACAAGUGUGCAGCCUCAGGGGCCACUCUCUGCUGAAACAACAGGGUGGGGCUUUGAAAUAGCUGAGCCGUUUUAAGUCAAGGACACACGCACCCCACCCAUCCUCCUGACUCCCUGGGCUGCAGUCUCAGAGCAAACCGGUACUGACACCCAAGAGCCAGCUGGCGACCUCGCGUGCACCUCCCCCUCGCUCCCCGCAGAAGGGUGGAGGAAGAGGUAAGCAGCGCCGGCUGCUCCCAGGUCUCCGGUAUGCAGUCUGUGAAUGGCAAAGUGAACUGAAUUCUGGGUGCCUGGGAAUGACAGACCUGAUGGGAACAGUCCAAGUAUCUGGAGUUCAUCCUGGAAGAUAUCUCGCUGCUGAUGGUGACCUGAGAAGCAAGGGAGGGUCUUCUACUACAAUGCGGCUUCUGCCCUGGCCCACAUGCAGCUUGCCUGUGCGCAGCAAUGGUCCCCACACCCCUCAUGGCACAGUGGCAUGGACAUGUUAGCCUAACUGGGACAAGGACAACAAGCAUUGCCCAAGUUCUGGAUGAGACCUUUGAAGAGAUCACUGAGGCCAAUUACCGUGAUGUGAGAGAGCACAUCAAUGCCCUAUUCUGUAUCUAGGCAUGCAUGCAGCCCUAACCCUCCUCGCCCCAAGAGCCCGCACUGAAUAACUUCCUUUCCAAAAUAAAAGCCGCU